ACUGGAGACUGGAAGUCCCUCUUUCGUUCACUCCUUCAUUCGGUGUUUGUGGAGCACCUACCGGGUGCCAGGCACCGUGCUGGGGGGCAGGGCAGUAAACCCGGCAGGACAGAGCAGGCUCUGUGGGGCGCACCGUCUCUCGGGGAGACAGACGACAAACAGAGGGUUACGCAAUCGACCGGUUAAUUGCAGUUGUGACAUGCAUUGUGCAGUGGAGAAACUCAGGGGCGGUGAGCACGUCUGCCUGGGAGUGCUCACCUGCUUCUCCGACUCAGGGACCUGUUCUCGGGGACGGGAUUCUUAAGCUGAAAGAUCUGCAGGGCCAGCGGGAUGGAUAAAGUAGUUGGGGUUUGGAGCAAGAGAACCCAGGCAGAGGGAGCGGCAUGUGCAAAACUCAGAAACGGGAACUCGGAGCGUGACAUUUCCAGGGGCCGCAGGAGCUGUGGGGAGCACCGGGGUCAGGCUUGCUCACGGAGACCACCUGCUGCCGUGUGGAGGGUGGACGCACACAGGGGCUCGGCCCGGCCUCAGAGGAAGCGCCGUGGCACCGAGAAGCCGGAGAAGCAAAUCUGUCCGAGAAUCCCGGGUCGGGGGCAGGGGCUCAGUCCCUCCUGGAAGCCGAAGGGCUGGUGUCGGAGCCCUCGUGCAGGCCCUGCAUUCUGUAAAACCCGACGCCCGUGUGUGCGUGCCUGGCAAGCCGGGGCCCAGUGACAAAGGCGGCCGUGGC